GGCUGGAUCACCUCCUAACAGGGAGACAAAACCUGAUCGUGAUGUCUGAGUAUUUUUAUUCUUAGACCAUGAUCCUGUCAUCUCGAAGGUCGAUCGGUACCUCAACUUGAGUGUAAGAGAAGAGCUGAGCAAUCAGUUUGGAGACUUGCCAUUCAAUUUCAGUUCCUAAACUUUGUCUAGGUCACCCCACAGGGCCGUCAAAUGUGUAUUUGACGUUACUGAGCGGUAGCAACUCCUGGGCCAUUAGCUCAGGUGGUUAGAGCGCACCCCUGAUAAGGGUGAGGUCCCUGGUUCAAGUCCAGGAUGGCCCAUUCGUGUUUGGGGGUUUAGCUCAGUUGGUAGAGCGCCUGCUUUGCAAGCAGGAUGUCAGCGGUUCGAGUCCGCUAACCUCCAUCCAAUGAUGAUGCUCUGCCCUCAGGCCAUGCAUACUUGUUUGAGUAUGUGAGGUAAGGAGAUCUGCUGUUGUGUUGAUCUAGAUCGUUGUUCGCUGAAGAUUUCAGCUUCUUUUCAUUCUUAUCUUAUUCAAGAGUAAGUUGAAAAGACGCUGGAUUCAACGCUGCCCUGGAGACAGGGCUGUUUGAAUGUCAGCAGAACCUUGACAACUGCAUAGUUGAAGUCUGGAAAUAAAGCAUCUCAUGGAUGCUUGAUUCUAGCUUGAGUCAAAUCCAGUAGUGGAUGCAAUUCAGGAUAUAGAUCAAGAAAAUUCUAUUGAGUUUUUAGAGCCGAGAGCUUCCAGUUUUCUUCUUUAUCCGCCGAGGAUAGAGGAGUUUGAUCCUGGCAUUCAAACUGCAGCCAAGAGUCUGAGCAAUCAGAUUUAAGAUUGUAG
rnacentral:tRNA from 1 species